CUCCAUCAUUCCCGUUUAGUUUGGUUGGUUUCCCCCAUAUAUCUAUGGGUUUCCCCAAGGGAGGACGGUGCUUGCAAAGAUGGGAAGACAUUCACCCAGAACCGAGUGGGUGCCAUUGAGGAGAUGUCUUGGCUCACUGGCAAUAGCAGUGAGUGCUUGUAUGUGUGAUGAGGAUAGAGGGCAGCAGGUUGCAUAUGGCAGCUAUCACAGGAAGCAGGAACCCCCCCC